ACUUCAUUUAUUGUAUCUUCAGCUCAGAAUUUUAGAAAAAUUUUAUCUCUUUGUUGAACAUCUCCUUUUUUAAGGAGAUGUAUUGGUUUCCUAAUUUUUGUUGAGUUGUCUGUGUUCUGCUGUAGCUUGCUGUGUUCCCUUAAAACAAUUAUUUUGAAUUUCUUGUCAGGAAAUUUUUAGAUCUCUACUUCUUUGGGGUUGGUUACUGUAAAAUCAUUGUAUUCCUUUCAGGGUAUCAUGCCUCCUUGGUUUGCAUAUUGCUUGAAGUCUUACAUUACUGUCUUUGUAUUUAUUUGAAACAGUCACUUCUUCCUGUCUUUAGUAACUGGCUUUGGGAGGAAAACACCUUCACUAGUUAGCCAGGCUAGGGAUUUUGAGGCUAUCUUGGACUUUUACUAUGGAUGCACCUACUCCACUCCUCUCGUUCUCUCUUGGGUAUUCCUAAGAUGAUAUGCCUUCUAUUGAUACUGCAAAGCCAGGCCAAGCAUGGAGAGUCUCCCAUUUGUUUUCCAUGGGGCAGUGUCCUGAAAUGCUGAUUUGUGUGCCUUCUCCCAAUCACGCAGUGUCAAACCUGUUAAAUGCAUGUAUUUGCAAACCAUCUGUAAAGCCCCACACUUGCUGUCCAGGGUACACCUGUAGGGGUCCAGCCAUGGGGUACUGAGAGGGGUGAAGCACAUAGAGUAUUUGGGGUGUCCAUGGGCCAGUUUGGGAGUCUGCAGGUAAGGCAUCCCAAGCAGUUUAUGGACAGGCCCCUGAUGGAGUCUGUGAAGCAGCUAGUAAGAUAUGUGGCCCUUUGUUGAGUUUUACACUCGGAUUCCUGUGAGUCUCCUGCCUCUCUUCCUUCCUCCCACAUUCUCCCAGCUACUUGUUCAUGUGGAUCCCUUCAGUAUUCUGGGUGGAAUGAGAAAGAGGUAGGACUCUUGGGAAGCAUCCUUCACAGCUGGGGAAAUCAAGUGUUCACUCAUACUCUUCCAUUUCCCUGUGGGAGUUACUGUGGGCUGAGGAGGUCUGUCUUGUCACAGAGCUAGCUAUACUGCCUAUGGGGAGGGGUGAUGCAGGUAAAGAGAAACUGUUCUUUUUAUUCUCUUCAAUCUUCCUAUGUUUAGAUUUUUUGCUCCAAUGGUGUUCUAGAACUUCUUCCCUGGACUCCCAUGGUUGUGAAAACCAGCGCACUGUGGAGGAGAUAAAAUAGUAGGAAACUCCUCUUCCACCGUCUGGCUCUCUCUGCCUUCUUCAUAUUUACUGUUAUUAUCUGAUCUCCCAGCUGGAAAACUCCUGGAGGACUGAACACCUUCUCAAGUACCAUCAGAGUGGACAAAACAUAAACUGCUUUUCCUCUGAUCUCAUACCACCAUCAACACAGAAGACUUCUAUGAAAUGUGUGGAAAUGUAUCCCUACCAACAAACAAGCAAUCACUUCUGCAUUCAACACCUUACAGGUGUUCUCCAAUUCAGUUUCAGCACUACCAACGUGGAGAUAGCAUCAGAUCACACAGAUUGAGGGCUCAGUACCACAAGACUUCCUGUCACUUCUGACAUCAAUCAUAAGCACCAGGAUAUUUUAUCCAUGCUUCUGACCUACUGGCUACAAACUGGGGUUCCCAUGACUUCCUCCUUUGGGUUGAUUAAUUUUCUAGAGUGGCUCACUGAACUCAGGGAAACAUUUAUGCUUACCAGUUUAUUAUAAAGGAUAUUACAAAGGCUACAGAUGAAGGGUUGCACAGGGAAAGGUAUGGAAGAAGAGGCACAGAGCUUCCAUGUCCUCCAAGGAUGCACAGCCUUGCAGGAACCUCCACAUGGUGGGCUACCCAGAAACUCUCUAAACUCUGUCCUUUGUGGUUUGUAUGGAGGCUUCAUUAUGUAGGCUUGAUUGACAAGACCAUCGACCAUUGGUGAUCAGGUUUAAUUUUCAGCCUCUUUCACCUCCUGGGAGGUGGAGCUAAAUGUGCCAAUUUCUCUAAUCCUUUCUGGGUCUCUUCAGUGAUCAGUGCCCAUCCUGAAGCCUAAUAUGAGCUGCCAGCCAUAAGUCAACUCAUUAGCUUACAAAAAUAUAUCACUCUGAAGAUUCUAAGGAUUUUUUUUUUUUGAGACAGGAUCUUACUCUGUCAUCCAGACUGGAGUUCAGUGGCAUGAUCUUGGCUCACCGCAGCCUCCACCUCCAGUUCAAUCUGUUCUCCUGCCUCACCCUCCCAAGUAGCUGGGAUUACAGGCAGGUGCCACCACUUCUGGCUGAUUUUUUGUAUUUUUAGUAGAGGUGGGAUUUCACCAUGUUGGCCAGGCUGGUCUCAGAUUCCUAGAUUCAGGUGAUCCACGCACCUUGGCCUUCCAAAGUGCUGGGAUUAUAGGCGUGAGCCACCGUGCCUGGCCGGAUUCUAAGGAUUUUAAGAGUUGUAUGACAGGAAAUGGGGACAAAGACCAACUAUGUAUUUCUGGUGCCUAGAUUGGACCAGAGCAGUUGGACCAGAGCACGUCCAGGGGAAUGAAGCGCACCCUCUAGUGGUCAUCCGUGGUGCUUUCUCCUUCUCAGGAUUCUGGUCCCCACUGACCUCCCAAGAGGGAUGGCUGGACACACAAGAUGUUCACCUCUUAAAGCGGCAGAGACCAUCAGGCUAGAGGACACUCAGAAAGGAUUCUAGUCCACUCUUCAUUCCAUGACUCAAUUUUUGUCAACAUCCAGGUGGCACUCAGCUUUUGCUGUUUUGUUUCUUCUCACUCAGUCAUCCAAGUCAUGUGUAAAAUGAGGAUGUUAUCCUUUGUGCCACUCACAAGUGUCAAUUAAUCCCCAUCAUGAGAAAAAAAACUGAAGAAAGGGAAACUAUAAAAUAGCACAUUAAUAGGUUUUAUUACAGGUUUUUUGUUGUUGUUCUUUGUUUUUUUGCCCGGACACAGUGGCUCACACCUAUAAUCCCAACACUUUAGGAGGCUGAGGCAGGUACCAUCACCUGAAGUCGAGAGUUUGAGACCAGCCUCACCAACAUGGAGAAACCCCAUCUCUGCUAAAAAUGCAAAAUUAGCUAGGCGUGAUGGCACAUGCCUGUAAUCCCACUUUGGGAGGCUGAGGCAGGAAAAUCACUUGAACCUGGGAGGUGGAGGUUGCAGUGAGCUGAAACUGCGCCAUUGCACUCCAGCCUGAGCAACAGAGUGUGACUCCACCUCAAAAAAUAAAUGAAUAAAAUAAAAUAAAGUUUAUUUAAUUUUUUUUUUGAGAUGGAAUUUCGCUCUUGUUACCCAAGCUGGAAUGCAAUGGUAUGAUCUUGCACAGCCAUCACUCAUCAUUAACUAUCACAGAAAACAUAUGAAAAGUUAUUACACAUCACCAGUAUAAAAAUAUAAGAUAAAGAGUUUAUUGUGGUGAGAUUUUAAGCUGACAUAGUCCUUCUAGGGGGUAGUUUGGCAUUGUGUAAUUGUAUCUGUUUGCUAAGGAUGCUAUAACAAACUAUCACAAUCUGGGUGGCUUAAAACAAACAAAAUUAUUGUAUUGGCUGGGUGCAGUGGCUGACGCCUAUAAUCCCAGCACUUUGGGAGGCCAAGCCGGGUGGAUUACUUGAGGUCAGAAGUUCGAGACCAGCCUGACUAAUAUGGUGAAACCCCGUCACUACUGAAAAUACAAAAAUUACCCAGGUAUGGUGGCUGGUGCCUGCAAUCCCAGCUACUCAGGAGUCUGAGGCAGGAGAAUUGCUUGAACCAGGAGGUAGAGGCUGCAGUGAACCAAGAUGGUGCCACUGCACUCCAGCCUGGAUGACAGAGUGAGACUCUGUCUCAAAAAAAAAAAAAAAAAAAAAAAAAGAGCAAAUUUUUGUCUCACAGUCCUGGAAGCUUGAAAUCUGAUUGAAAUCUGAAACUGAGGUGUCAGCAGAACUAUGUUCUCUCUGAGACUCUGGAUAAAAUUCUUCCUUGCCUCUUCCCAGCUUCUGGUGAUGGCCGGCAACCCUUGGCUUACAGCUGCAUUCACCCAAUAUCUGCCUCUGUCAUUGUGUGACUGUCUUCACAUUGUCUUCCCUCCCUGCAUGUCUGUGUCUGUGUUCACACUUCUCCUUUAUAAAAGGACCCCGGUCAUAUUGGAUUAUUGGACUCAUCCUAAAUUGAUCACCUGCAAAGACUCUGUUUCCAAAUAAGGUCACAUUUACAAUUGCUAGGUAUUACAACUUCAACUUCUUUUGGGGGAAGAAACAAUUUAACCCAUAAGAGUAUCCAAAUGUAGAACGAAUGUACUUUUGACUCAUCACCCCAAGUUUUAGAAAUGUACCCUAAGGAGAUACCUAGACAAAUAGCAAAGAGGUUUAGGGUAGUCUUGUUUAUAAUAGUGAAAAAUUAGAAGUAACUUAGUAGUGCAUUGUAUACUAGCUAAAUAUGUUAUUUGAUACAAUACAAUGGAACCAAAAAUUGGAGAUGUAAUCCUAUAUUGAUUGCCAUAGAAAGAUAAUCACAACAUAUUAUUGAGUGAAUGGAGCAGAUCAUAAAACACCGUGCAUAAUGGUUUAUAAAUGUAUAUUCUUAAAUCUAUGUCAGGAAAGUUGCAGCUAGGUGCAGUGGCUCACACCUGUAAUCCCAGCACUUUGAGGGUGAGGCAGGCGGAUCACAAGGUCAGGAGAUCAAAACCAUGCUGACUAACAUGGUGAAACCCUGUUUCUACUAAAAAUACAAAAAAUUAGCUGGGCAUGGUGGUGUGCACCUGUAGUCCCAGCUACUCAGGAGGCUGAGACAGGAGAACAUGGCGGAGGUUGCAUUGAGCCAAGAUCGCACCACUGGACUCCAGCUUGGGUGACAUCUCCAGACUUCGUCUCAAAAAACAAAACAAAACAAAACAAAAAACAGUGAGUUGGUGGGAUGUUCAGAUAUUUAAAUUUUCUUCUUUUUAAUGUUUCAGGAUAUCCAGGUAUGUUUGUAAAUCACAAAAACAAGAACUCAUCUUUAAAGAGCUCUGAGAGCAGCAUGUGAGGCCAAAGCAUUCAGGUGGAACCGGAAGUCAUCACUAAGCAACCCUGGCUGCUUUUUUUGUCCUCUGUAAUAGCCAAGUAGGUGCUGCAGCUCCUCUGCCUUUCCUGAUCUCAGCCUCCAUGUCAUUGAUGUGGGGCCUUUCCAGCUCAGAUGGAAAAAGGCAAGUGUGUGUUCCAGUUGCCUGCUGAAAGGGCACCAGGAUCUGUGUGAUUUCCCAUGUGGCGACCCACUGCACUGGCUGAAACAACGGUGCUGCCCAGGAAUCUCCUGGCCAGCUUAAAAGGGCAACCAGACCAGUGUAUUUUGUAUGGAGAGCCGCUGCACUGUGGCGCCAGCAAUAUAGCUGUGCCGCUAAAACAGCCGCGCUGGCCAAAACAGCCGCGCUGGCAACCUGUAGGGCUCCUCCCCCUUGGAAUCACCUGGUCUGUGGGCAAUAAAGAUCCAUCUCGAAAUGCGGCAUCCACUCACCCUCUGCACUUUCACUGGGAGAUGCAAUCCUGAGCUGCUCCUAAAAGGGCCAUCUUCUUUUUAAGCUUUAGAGAUGCAACUGUCUAGUUGAUGGAAGACAAGUUCGGAGCUCCCACUGAUUCUAUGUUAUGGGAUAUGGAUGAAUCUGGAGAACGUCAUCCUCAGCAAACUGACACAAGAACAGAAAAUGAAACACCGCAUAUUCUCACUCAUAGGCGGGUGAUGAAAAAUGAGAACACAUGGACACAGAAAGGGGAGUACUAAACACUGGGGUCUA